AGGUUGCUUCUUCAUGUCGCUAUGUCCCAAAAACCUGUGCUUUGCUGGAACAUUACCCAGAGGCCACUAGCUGCAAAAGAGGCCAGAUAAAAUUUUCAGUAAUGCAAGCUGGUAGUCAUGUAUGGCCUCACACUGGUCCCACCAACUGUCGUCUACGAAUGCAUCUAGGCCUCAUCAUCCCUUCUAAGGGAUGCAGGAUUCGCUGUACAAACCAAACAAGGGAGUGAGAAGAAGGAAAAGUGUUAAUAUUUGACGACUCAUUCGAGCAUGAAGUCUGGCAGGAAGCAGAAAGCUACAGACUCAUCUUCAUUGUGGAUGUCUGGCACCCAGAACUCACCCAAUUACUGAGGCAGACUCUGUCACCAAUAUAGAAGAUUUGUCCAAAAACGUGAGUUUUGAAAAGUAGGUCGACAGCCAAUCGGAGUGACAGAUUUACUGUUCUAAGCCAAUCACAGAUUUCAUAAAU